GUGUCAGCCGCCGCGGUAAUACGUAGGUUGCAAGCGUUAUCCGGAUUUACUGGGCGUAAAGAGUGCGUAGGCGGUUCUUCAAGUCGGAUGUGAAAUCCCCCGGCUUAACCGGGAGGGGUCAUUCGAAACUGUUGGACUAGAGGACAGCAGGGGGAGGUGGAAUUCCCGGUGUAGUGGUGAAAUGCGUAGAUAUCGGGAGGAACACCAGUGGCGAAGGCGGCCUCCUGGGCUGUUUCUGACGCUGAGGCUCGAAAGUGUGGGGAGCGAACAGGAUUAGAUACCCUGGUAGUCCACACUGUAAACAAUGGACACUAGGUAUGGGGAGUAUCGACCCUUUCUGUGCCGAAGCUAACGCUUUAAGUGUCCCGCCUGGGGACUACGGCCGCAAGGCUAAAACUUAAAUGAAUUGACGGGG
rnacentral:rRNA from 1 species